rnacentral:rRNA from 1 species
UGGGGAAUCUUGCACAAUGGGGGAAACCCUGAUGCAGCGACGCCGCGUGAGCGAUGAAGCCCUUCGGGGUGUAAAGCUCUUUCGGCAGGGAAGAUUAUGACGGUACCUGCAGAAGCAGCUGCGGCUAACUACGUGCCAGCAGCCGCGGUAAUACGUAGGCAGCGAGCGUUGUUCGGAGUUACUGGGCGUAAAGGGUGUGUAGGCGGUUGUUUAAGUUUGGUGUGAAAUCUCCCGGCUCAACCGGGAGGGUGCGCCGAAUACUGAAUGACUAGAGUGUGGGAGAGGUGAGUGGAAUUCCUGGUGUAGCGGUGAAAUGCGUAGAUAUCAGGAGGAACACCGGUGGUGUAGACGGCUCACUGGACCAUAACUGACGCUGAGACACGAAAGCGUGGGUAGCAAACA